rnacentral:rRNA from 1 species
AGAGACAGCAGUCGCCGCGGUAAUACGAAGGGGGCUAGCGUUGUUCGGAUUUACUGGGCGUAAAGGGCGCGUAGGCGGACUGAUAAGUCAGGGGUGAAAUCCCAAGGCUCAACCUUGGAACUGCCUUUGAUACUGUUUGUCUUGAGUUCGAGAGAGGUAAGUGGAACUGCGAGUGUAGAGGUGAAAUUCGUAGAUAUUCGCAAGAACACCAGUGGCGAAGGCGGCUUACUGGCUCGAAACUGACGCUGAGGCGCGAAAGCCAGGGGAGCGAACGGGAUUAGAUACCCCCGUAGUCCCUGUCUCUUAUAC